CUGUCCGAGGGGCGCUGCAGCAGGCUCAACCUGUCAGGCUCGGAUGGGGCGUUCUCCGGUCGUAUCAGUUGCUCCGGAGACUAAACGCACAACGGCGCCCAUUCGCA
rnacentral:ncRNA from 1 species